AUGUCUUAAGGAUGCUUAGAUUAUGAGUUGCAGGCUUGUUUCAGUAGAUUUUGAUCUCUCGCUCUUGUUUGAAUGUUAGAAUAAGAUAUCCACUGAUAAGUUAUUCCCUAUGAAUUUUUUUUUGUAUGAUGGGAAGCUAGUAGUUUGAUAUUACUUCUCAAAAUGUCUUUUUAGUAUUUGAUUUGGUAGGAGAGUAUUUCAACCGCCGUGAUUUAUUUAUUUAUUUAUUUAUUUUUUUCUGAAAAAUUGAUUUAAAGGUUGAAUAUGGUAUUUAUUUUAGGCAUUCCAUCGCUUUAUCUAUCAAAUAUUAUAUGGCUUAAGCAGUUCAAAAGGAUAUAUUAACUAACUAAGAUGCCUGUACAGUCAAGCAGGAUUUUUAUCGAGGAAAAAGUUUAGAAUGUACUAAUUAUAUUGCUGAUGUGGCGUUUUCAAUUAAUGAGAUUUUUUUAGGUUCAUACUUUCUAUUAUAGUUAAUAGAAAAAUAUUUUUAUUAUAUUUUUUUGAGAAAAAUAUGAUUAAUUUGUUAUUGAUAAUGUGGUGUAAAUGUGGCAGCGUAGACUUUCUCUCUGUUAUCAGGCGAGCCUCGUAGGAGAAAUUAUACACUGUCACACUUACACCACGUCAUCAAUAACAAGCCAAUCACAUUCAUUCUUUUCAAACAAAAGUACAAUAAAAAUACUUUUUUACAAUCAUGAUGGGACAUAUAUUCUUAAAAUGAUUAAUUUGAUUGGUUUGUUACGCCACGUCACUAAUAUACCCGUUGCAUUCUAGAAUUUUUCGCCUCGUAGACAGCCAAAAAGAUGAGGACGACUGAUGGAC
rnacentral:lncRNA from 1 species